UACGAAGGGGGCGAGCGUUGUUCGGAAUUACUGGGCGUAAAGGGCGCGUAGGCGGCCCCUUUUGUCGCGUGUGAAAGCCCCGGGCUCAACCUGGGAGGUGCGCGCGAAACGGGGGGGCUUGAGUACGAAAGAGGAUCGCGGAAUUCCCGGUGUAGAGGUGAAAUUCGUAGAUAUCGGGAGGAACACCAGAGGCGAAGGCGGCGACCUGGACAGUUACUGACACUCAACUACGAAAGCGUGGGGAGCAAACAGG
rnacentral:rRNA from 1 species